rnacentral:rRNA from 2 species
GUUGAAGGUUGGGUAACACUAACUGGAGGACCGAACCGACUAAUGUUGAAAAAUUAGCGGAUGACCUGUGGCUGGGGGUGAAAGGCCAAUCAAACCGGGAGAUAGCUGGUUCUCCCCGAAAGCUAUUUAGGUAGCGCCUCGUGAAUUCAUCUCCGGGGGUAGAGCACUGUUUCGGCUAGGGGGCCAUCCCGGCUUACCAACCCGAUGCAAACUGCGAAUACCGGAGAAUGUUAUCACGGGAGACACACGGCGGGUGCUAACGUCCGUCGUGAAGAGGGAAACAACCCAGACCGCCAGCUAAGGUCCCAAAGUCAUGGUUAAGUGGGAAACGAUGUGGGAAGGCCCAGACAGCCAGGAUGUUGGCUUAGAAGCAGCCAUCAUUUAAAGAAAGCGUAAUAGCUCACUGGUCGAGUCGGCCUGCGCGGAAGAUGUAACGGGGCUAAACCAUGCACCGAAGCUGCGGCAGCGACGCUGAUGCGUUGUUGGGUAGGGGAGCGUUCUGUAAGCCUGCGAAGGUGGCCUGUGAGGGUUGCUGGAGGUAUCAGAAGUGCGAAUGCUGACAUAAGUAACGAUAAAGCGGGUGAAAAGCCCGCUCGCCGGAAGACCAAGGGUUCCUGUCCAACGUUAAUCGGGGCAGGGUGAGUCGACCCCUAAGGCGAGGCCGAAAGGCGUAGUCGAUGGGAAACGGGUUAAUAUUCCCGUACUUGGUGUUACUGCGAAGGGGGGACGGAGAAGGCUAUGUUGGCCGGGCGACGGUUGUCCCGGUUUAAGCGUGUAGGUGUGUGUUCCAGGUAAAUCCGGUU